CCCGGACCCACACCCUCCGGAAUCGGAGGCAGAGGUCAUAUCCACUGGGCUAUCACGGGUCCUUCCGGGCUUAUAGUAUAAAUUAAGUAGGAAAUUUUCAAAAAAACCAUUUGGCUUCGCAAUAGUUGUGUAAAAAGCGCUUAACAAUCUGCGGGUAUAAUUGCUUUCAUGGCACUAAUCUAUAAUUAUAAUAAAACUGUAACAGGUCUGUAACUGUAACUGUAACAACUUUCAAGCCGUGAGCCAUACAAAUAAACAAGAUAGAAGGAGAUAGACAUACUUUGUUUGUUCCAUCGUCGCUUCGGUAAAUGACCGGCUCGUAUUUUGGUUUAGUAUUUGUUCUCGUUGGAAUAGAUUUAGUUGGGCCGAUGACAUCAAGCGGGUUGCAGGGAGCCGCUGGAUGCUGGCGACUCGAGACAGUGGUGUUUGGAAGUCUAUACAAGAGGCCUAUACAGCAGUGGUCGUCUAUUUUUAUUUAUUUAUAGCAUUCAUGCACUAAUAUACUAAACACUGGUAGUCUUAAUGUUAAUAGUGUGGUUGUUACAUGAGGCCCUGUCAGGGCAUUGCCAAUGCUUAAUAUAAUUUCUAUUCACACAAUAUACUGGACUAAAUUCUGGUAACAUUUAAAUUAGAAAUUUUAUUUUAACUAAGCAUAUUUAGUUCUCAAAACAGUGUCAAGAGAAUAAAGCGAAGAGAGAAUUAAGUCUACUUUAGGAUUAGAUUUUAUUUAUUAAUGCCAUAGAAACACUUAUCGGAUUAACUAUUUUUUUAAUUUUCCUUUAAAUGUUGCCAGUUUCUCUUCAUUUAUGAUUUCUUUAGGAAUAUUUUUGUAGAUAAUUACCGACCUGAAAUUAGGGCUAUUUUGCCCAACCAUUUUAAUAGCAUUACGUGGCAAAUAUGAUUCCCCUUCUUGUAUUUUCUAACGUUUUAUAUGUUUUCGGUUGGUGUGCUUCCUUACGAAUAAGUAUGUUUCCAAUGGGCUGUUACUGAUGAUGAUGACACUUUAAACAUAAAGUUCAAUUUCGAAUAAAACUAUAUAAUGAAAAAUAAAGUGUAUAUUCCGGACCUCACUCCAGGCAGGCGUAUCGACUGGCCUACACUAUGUGGCUAUCACGGACUGGCGUUGGCAUUAACGAAUUUGUGGCUAAUGAUUUACAAUUAGAAUUUAAUGUACAUUUAUUAUUUAUUUAUAUUUAUAUUUCCAUGUAACCCAAUACAUAUCCGUUUUUAUAUUAAAUGUUCCCACAAAGUGUGCGACAAUUUUGAAUGUUGAACUAGUAAAAUACACUUUAUUUUUGACAUUUGAUUUUUUUUUCAUGUGAAAAUUGCUAGUUAUUAGUUAAAGGAAGGUUUUAGUUUUUUUUUUAAAAAAAACCUCUCGAGUUUUCUUUUUAACUAUAACGAAAACCCUUUAAGCUAAGCGCUGUCAGGACUGGAUAUUGAAUUUUAAAAAAAUAAUGUUAAUAUGUAAAUAAUUAUUUUGUACAGUCACUGCUGACUGUGUUGCCAGCUCUUCUCUGGUACUAUAGUUAUUACAAACGGUCAAAAGGGAAUGCCCAUCCUAACCUGACUUAACCACCCUGAAAUUUAUUUUAGAUCUGAACCAACAAUCUCUCUAACUGCAUAUUGGUCGAAAAUAUGAAAUCCGAAAAAGUUUAAACGAACUCAAAUAUCUAUGAAUUCAUUUAUUUAAAAUUUAAUUUCUAUUAUCUAAUUCCACAAUUCGAAAUAUUGGUAGAUUUAUUUUUUAAAAUCAAAAGUGUAUUUUAUUUGUUGAACAUUCAAUAUAAGAAAUGACAAUAUAAAAAUUUAAAUAGGGUUUCGAUUUUUUUUUUAUUUCCCAUGGGCUUAAAAACUGUUUUCUUUUCCAUUGUAUUGUAUUGAUCCGUGCUUUUGUUUUAAGAUUUCUAUGAAUAGUGACUAAAUAUGCAACCUAGAUAUUAUUAGUUGAUAGAUAUGUUUAAGCAAUUCUGCAGUUUAAAUGUAUCAUUGAGUUUUUGUGAGUAGAAACGUAUUUAGUGUACGUGGACUAAACUGUUAUAAAUGACGGCCUCCGCGGCGAUUUGACGGCCUCCGCGGCGCAGUGGUAUGCGCGGUGAAUUUA
rnacentral:lncRNA from 1 species